UUCUUAUCACGAGAGAUUGAGGGACAGGCCCUAUGAAAUCCGACAACCGGCAAUUGUGUAUCGGUGUCAAUUCCUGCAGAAUAGAAUCAAACAAGUUUUGCUGUUUAUGUAAAAAAAGUU
rnacentral:misc_RNA from 1 species